rnacentral:tRNA from 1 species
UCCCUGGUGGCUCAGUGAUAAAGAAUCUGCCUGCCAUGCAGGAGACUUGGGUUUGAUUUCUAGUCUGGGAA